AGUCGACGGGACUAUACUGGAAGAAGUUUUCGGAUGGAUUUCGGUAUAGUUUAGUGGCGGACGGGUGAGUAACACGUGAGCAACCUGCCUUCGAGAGGGGAAUAACGGCUGGAAACGGUCGCUAAUACCGCAUAACAUACCGGGAGGACAUCCUGCUGGUAUCAAAGAUUUAUCGCUCGAAGAUGGGCUCGCGUCCGAUUAGGUAGUUGGAGAGGUAACGGCUCACCAAGCCGACGAUCGGUAGCCGGACUGAGAGGUUGAACGGCCACAUUGGGACUGAGACACGGCCCAGACUCCUACGGGAGGCAGCAGUGGGGGAUAUUGCACAAUGGGGGAAACCCUGAUGCAGCGACGCCGCGUGUGGGAAGACGGUCCUCUGGAUUGUAAACCACUGUCCCCAGGGACGAAGAUGACGGUACCUGGGGAGGAAGCUCCGGCUAACUACGUGCCAGCAGCCGCGGUAAUACGUAGGGAGCGAGCGUUGUCCGGAAUUACUGGGUGUAAAGGGAGCGUAGGCGGGGAUGCAAGUUGGGUGUCAAAACUACCGGCUCAACUGGUAGUCGCACUCAAAACUGCAGCUCUUGAGUGAAGUAGAGGCAGGCGGAAUUCCUAGUGUAGCGGUGAAAUGCGUAGAUAUUAGGAGGAACACCAGUGGCGAAGGCGGCCUGCUGGGCUUUUACUGACGCUGAGGCUCGAAAGUGUGGGGAGCNAACAGGAUUAGANACCCUGGUAGUCCACACCGUAAACGAUGAUUACUAGGUGUGGGGGGUCUGACCCCUUCCGUGCCGGAG
rnacentral:rRNA from 1 species